rnacentral:lncRNA from 1 species
UUGGUGCUGUAUAGAGACGGUGGCGUUGAGAUAUUGACCACGGAAGGAGGAUGUCGACGGUGAGAAAGCUGUAGUGGUCGUUUGGAAGGGAUGCGCCAAUUACGAAGAGAGGUCUGUUGCCAAGGUAGAGCAGCCAGUGAGUAGAGGAGAAGGAAACAGCUUCCUGGAAGUCCUCGAUAACCAGAUCUGGUUGAGCAUACAUGGGUAAGAGUUGAACAUCGACAACACAAGUCACUCCGGAUACUUUGAAAAUCAGAAGCUAGUCCUCAAGAGAGUAACUUAAUCAAACUCAGCAAAAACAGUAAGAUUGUAUAUUUGUUUCUUUCUUUGAUUGCUUCAUUUCUAAGUGGUUAAUAAAGCAACACCAUAUGUCAUUUAAGAGGAGAAGGAGGAGGUAUUGGAGAUUCUAUAUAAGUGAAGUUUGUAUUUUUGGUAUGCGAAAAUGUGACUUAAGCUGAUGUUCAUUGUAACCAUAAUGGUAUGCUCAAUAUACAAAGCUAGAGGCAUACCAAGAAUCUUCAAGCUCGAAUAUACGCAGCUAAAUCUGAUAUAAUAGUAUUUUGU